AUUGAACGCUGGCGGCAGGCCUAACACAUGCAAGUCGAGCGAGCGGCGGACGGGUGAGUAAGGUAUGGGGAUCUGCCCGAGAGAGGGGGAUAACUACUGGAAACGGUGGCUAAUACCGCAUACUAUCGGAUGAACCCAGAUGGGAUUAGCUAGUAGGUGGGGUAAAGGCACACCAAGGCGACGAUCUCUAGCUGGUCUGAGAGGAUGAACAGCCAAACUGGGACGUAGACACGGCCCAGAAGCCUACGGGAGGCAGCAGUGGGGAAUAUUGCACAAUGGGCGAAAUCCUGAUGCAGCCAUGCCGCGUGUAUGAAGAAGGCCUUAGGGUUGUAAAGUACGUUCAGCGGGGAGGCGUUACCCGCAGAAGAAGCACCGGCUAACUCCGUGCCAGCAGCCGCGGUAAUAC
rnacentral:rRNA from 1 species